UACGUAGGGGGCAAGCGUUGUCCGGAAUCAUUGGGCGUAAAGAGCGUGUAGGCGGUCCGGUCAGUCGGUUGUGAAAGUCAAGGGCUCAACCUCUGGCCUGCAUCCGAUACUGCCCGACUAGAGGUAGGUAGGGGAGAUCGGAAUUCCUGGUGUAGCGGUGAAAUGCGCAGAUAUCAGGAGGAACACCGGUGGCGAAGGCGGAUCUCUGGGCCUUACCUGACGCUGAGGCGCGAAAGCUAGGGGAGCAAACAGG
rnacentral:rRNA from 1 species